AACGAACGCUGGCGGCAUGCCUAACACAUGCAAGUCGAACGAGACCUUCGGGUCUAGUGGCGCACGGGUGCGUAACGCGUGGGAACCUGCCCUUAGGUUCGGAAUAACUCCCCGAAAGGGGUGCUAAUACCGGAUAAUGUCUUCGGACCAAAGAUUUAUCGCCUUUGGAUGGGCCCGCGUUGGAUUAGCUAGUUGGUAGGGUAAAAGCCUACCAAGGCGACGAUCCAUAGCUGGUCUGAGAGGAUGAUCAGCCACACUGGGACUGAGACACGGCCCAGACUCCUACGGGAGGCAGCAGUGGGGAAUAUUGGGCAAUGGGCGAAAGCCUGAUCCAGCAAUGCCGCGUGAGUGAUGAGGGCCUUAGGGUUGUAAAGCUCUUUUACCCGGGAUGAUAAUGACAGUACCGGGAGAAUAAGCUCCGGCUAACUCCGUG
rnacentral:rRNA from 1 species